rnacentral:rRNA from 1 species
GAUGAACGCUGGCGGCGUGCCUAAUACAUGCAAGUCGAGCGAACAGACGAGGAGCUUGCUCCUCUGACGUUAGCGGCGGACGGGUGAGUAAUACGUGGAUAACCUACCUAUAAGACUGGGAUAACUUCGGGAAACCGGAGCUAAUACCGGAUAAUAUAUUGAACCGCAUGGUUCAAUAGUGAAAGACGGUUUUGCUGUCACUUAUAGAUGGAUCCGCGCCGCAUUAGCUAGUUGGUAAGGUAACGGCUUACCAAGGCAACGAUGCGUAGCCGACCUGAGAGGGUGAUCGGCCACACUGGAACUGAGACACGGUCCAGACUCCUACGGGAGGCAGCAGUAGGGAAUCUUCCGCAAUGGGCGAAAGCUUGACGGAGCAACGCCGCGUGAGUGAUGAAGGUCUUCGGAUCGUAAAACUCUGUUAUUAGGGAAGAACAAAUGUGUAAGUAACUAUGCACGUCUUGACGGUACCUAAUCAGAAAGCCACGGCUAACUACGU